UACGUAGGGUGCAAGCGUUGUCCGGAAUUAUUGGGCGUAAAGAGCUCGUAGGCGGUUUGUCGCGUCUGCUGUGAAAACCCGAGGCUCAACUUCGGGCUUGCAGUCGAUACGGGCAGGCUAGAGUUCGGUAGGGGAGACUGGAAUUCCUGGUGUAGCGGUGAAAUGCGCAGAUAUCAGGAGGAACACCGGUGGUGUAGACGGCUCUCUGGACCGUAACUGACGCUGAGACACGAAAGCGUGGGUAGCAAACAGG
rnacentral:rRNA from 1 species